rnacentral:sRNA from 1 species
CUCAGGUUUUGCGUGGGAGGCGGUCCCGCGAUUUCAAGGGUCUACACGCUCUUCUAUGGCGAAUGCAACCUGAUGAGGGAGUGGGCUGUAUCUUCAGAGUUGUCUCCGUCUUUCCAAGAACAGAACAAAAUGAACAAGAACAGAAGUUCCAGGGGUCAGUAUCAUUUAAAGAUGUGACUGUGGGCUUCACCCAGGAGGAGUGGCAGCACCUAGACCCUAGUCAGAGGGCUCUGUAUAGAGAUGUGAUGCUGGAGAACUACAGCAACCUUGUCUCAGUGGGGUAUUGUGUUCACAAACCAGAGGUGAUCUUCAGGCUGGAACAAGGAGAAGAGCCAUGGAAACUGGAGGAAGAAUUCCCAAGCCAGAGCUUUCCAGAAGUCUGGACAGCUGAUCACCUGAAAGAGAGGAGCCAAGAAAACCAAUCUAAACAUUUGUGGGAAGUUGUAUUCAUCAAUAAUGAAAUGCUGACUAAGGAACAAGGUGAUGUAAUAGGAAUGCCGUUUAAUGUGGAUGUAAGCUCUUUUCCUUCCAGAAAAAUG